GAGGUGAGUGGAUUGAGGUGACCUGUUGGACGAGGUGUGGUGACUGGUUCCCAGUGUAAAUUGUAUGGCAGCUUGGUGCACUUCCCCAAUGCCAAGAUGCCAUUUCCUCAGGUUCCUCGAGAUGAGGAGCGAGUCCAGCGAGCUGUCAUUGACGGGGUCAAGGAAGCCAAAUAUAUUCCGCUGGCUACUGAUGAGUCCACUGACAACACGGAUAUCUCACAGUUGUACGUUUUUGUCAGAUACUUUGAUGGCAAAGAUUUCCGAGAAGAGCUGAUUUUUUAAAGCCAUGGAUUGUCUGUGGAUGAAAUCAACCUGACAGUGACAGAUGGUGCACCUGCCAUGAUUAGAAAAAAUAAGGGUCCGGUGAGCAGAAUAAAGACUGUCCCUCCUAAAACUAACGCACUCCAUUGUAUCAUCCACCAAAGCGUGUUGUGUGUGGAGCUCAAAUAGGUGAUCAAUGGAAAUUAUUAACCACAUCAGAGGAACUUCAAGCGCGCAGCACCACCUGUUCCAAGCUCCCAGGUCAGCUGACCAGCUGCUCCUGAGGGUUACAAAAACAAGGCUGAAGCUCAGAGGGGACCGAGCAUUUUCUGUUGCAGCUCCACAGCUUCUUAAAACGCACCUCCUUUCUUUGGCUUUUAACACUACGUAGGUUGUUGAUUUUAUGUGCACUGAUAUUUUAUCUGGGGAGGACAGUCAAUGUGUUAUUGUGUUUAUUUUAUUGUACAGCAGUUUGGAAACCUCUGUGUUCAUUUAAACUGUGCUUUAUGAAUAAAACGGAUUGGAUUGGAAUCCCAGGCUUCUCAUGAUGACCUGUUACUCCACAACGUCACAAUUCUCCACUAACGCGGUGAAAGUGCGGCAGUAGGACGAGGCAGCCAGAGCGAGCUGGCCGCAGGCGACAUGAAGGCUGCUCUCCGUGGUGCUGAAAGCCUGAGCGCUUUUUGGGUAUCUUGUCCCGAGGUCUGUGGCACAUUGAAGACGCUGGCUAUGUAUGUGCUCACCAUGUGCGGUUCAACCUACACCUGUGAGGCUACGUUCUCCAAGAUGAACUCGAUUAAAACGCACGAGAGGAACCGCCUGUCGACCCAGUCUUUGGAGGACUGUUUGCGUCUGACAGCCUCAUGUGAAAAAGUUGGUGUCAGAGGGGAAAUGUAACUUCAGCCAUUGAUUAAGUAGUGUGAGUGGUAGUCCAAUUCAGCCUUGUGAUGUGAUUUCGCUACAGCCCACUUAACGUUUUAUUUGAGACCUGUUCUGGUUCCAGGCUAUUUAUUUACCGUGCUAUUUUAACUUGUUCCAGAUGGGUUUUCCUCCCUUUUCAGUCCUGAGGAGUCUGCUAGUUCCAAGCAUGUUGUUGAGACUUUGAAAUAAAAACCAAAUGUUAAGUAAAUGCAUGAGGAAAAGUUAUGUUAAAAAACCCCGGUGUGAAACAAUAAAUGCUAAACAGUGUAACGAGUCUGUCCUCAUUUUGGAGUGUAGCCUAAAUCGAGUCAUAAAUGGUGGUGAUUACUGAUAAGAGCCGCAUUCGGCCCGCGGGCCGCCAGUUGAUGAUCGCUGUAUUAGAGCCUCCAGAGACUGGACCAUUGCCAUUUGCCAUUCCAUCUUUUCUUUAAAAGCCACAGAUCAGUAGAACACGCUGCCGGACGUGAGCACAAAAAGAGUUACAGGCUGCUCAGCACUGAAGUCAUUGAGCACAUUUAUUAUUAUGGUCUGUAUUACUUACUUUACUUCUCUGUCUGCUGUGUUCCUGUAUUUCAUCCUGUUCUGUUGUGUAAUGCUUGUCAGUACCUGGCAAAGGUCAGAUUAGCUGAAGCUAUAAUCUGGUGCAGUGCAUCAAAUGGUGACAUUCAGGAACUGUACAAAAUAUGAUAUGAAUUAAAAAAAUAAGUGAAGAAUGUUGCAUUUGGUGUUUGACACCCUAAAGGAUUGCAACUCCAUAGCGUAUUAUCCCUGUUGAACAUUAUCACACUUUAUAUCAUUGUUUAGCGGUUAGCAUCCAGUUGUGUUGUGGAGUUCUAGAAUGGAUAUUUGUUUGAUAACUAUGACUAUCUUGUUACGUUCCUAUCAUCUCAGAAACAGACCAAUCCCCAAAAACACUUUACACAGGAAAAACCAAUCCCGCCAAAUUACAACCU
ensembl:lncRNA